GACGAACGCUGGCGGCGUGCUUAACACAUGCAAGUCGAACGGAAAGGCCCUGCUUUUGUGGGGUGCUCGAGUGGCGAACGGGUGAGUAACACGUGAGUAACCUGCCCUUGACUUUGGGAUAACUUCAGGAAACUGGGGCUAAUACCGGAUAGGAGCUCCUGCUGCAUGGUGGGGGUUGGAACGUUUCGGCGGUUGGGGAUGGACUCGCGGCUUAUCAGCUUGUUGGUGGGGUAGUGGCUUACCAAGGCUUUGACGGGUAGCCGGCCUGAGAGGGUGACCGGCCACAUUGGGACUGAGAGACGGCCCAGACUCAUACGGGAGGCAGCAGUGGGGAAUAUUGCACAAUGGGCGGAAGCCUGAUGCAGCAACGCCGCGUGCGGGAUGACGGCCUUCGGGUUGUAAACCGCUUUCGCCUGUGACGAAGCGUGAGUGACGGUAAUGGGUAAAGAAGCACCGGCUAACUACGUG
rnacentral:rRNA from 1 species